rnacentral:tRNA from 1 species
AAGGAUUUAAGUUAAUAAAACUAUUAACCUUCAAAGUUAAAAUUAUAAGAUUUAUAGGCCUUA